UACGUAGGGAGCAAGCGUUGUCCGGAAUCCUUGGGCGUAAAGCGCGCGUUGGUGGCUUCGUAAGUCCGUUGUGAAAGUCAAAGGCUCAACCUUUGAAAGCCGAUGGAUACUGCGGAGCUAGAGUACGGAAGAGGCGAGUGGAAUUCCUGGUGUAGCGGUGGAAUGCGCAGAUAUCAGGAGGAACACCAAUAGCGAAGGCAGCUCGCUGGGACGUUACUGACACUGAGGCGCGAAAGCGUGGGGAGCGAACAGG
rnacentral:rRNA from 1 species